GGAUAACUUCGGGAAACCGUAGCUAAUACCGGAUAAUAUUUUGAACCGCAUGGUUCAAAAGUGAAAGACGGUCUUGCUGUCACUUAUAGAUGGAUCCGCGCUGCAUUAGCUAGUUGGUAAGGUAACGGCUUACCAAGGCAACGAUGCAUAGCCGACCUGAGAGGGUGAUCGGCCACACUGGAACUGAGACACGGUCCAGACUCCUACGGGAGGCAGCAGUAGGGAAUCUUCCGCAAUGGGCGAAAGCCUGACGGAGCAACGCCGCGUGAGUGAUGAAGGUCUUCGGAUCGUAAAACUCUGUUAUUAGGGAAGAACAUAUGUGUAAGUAACUGUGCACAUCUUGACGGUACCUAAUCAGAAAGCCACGGCUAACUACGUGCCAGCAGCCGCGGUAAUACGUAGGUGGCAAGCGUUAUCCGGAAUUAUUGGGCGUAAAGCGCGCGUAGGCGGUUUUUUAAGUCUGAUGUGAAAGCCCACGGCUCAACCGUGGAGGGUCAUUGGAAACUGGAAAACUUGAGUGCAGAAGAGGAAAGUGGAAUUCCAUGUGUAGCGGUGAAAUGCGCAGAGAUAUGGAGGAACACCAGUGGCGAAGGCGACUUUCUGGUCUGUAACUGACGCUGAUGUGCGAAAGCGUGGGGAUCAAACAGGAUUAGAUACCCUGGUAGUCCACGCCGUAAACGAUGAGUGCUAAGUGUUAGGGGGUUUCCGCCCCUUAGUGCUGCAGCUAACGCAUUAAGCACUCCGCCUGGGGAGUACGACCGCAAGGUUGAAACUCAAAGGAAUUGACGGGGACCCGCACAAGCGGUGGAGCAUGUGGUUUAAUUCGAAGCAACGCGAAGAACCUUACCAAAUCUUGACAUCCUUUGACAACUCUAGAGAUAGAGCCUUCCCCUUCGGGGGACAAAGUGACAGGUGGUGCAUGGUUGUCGUCAGCUCGUGUCGUGAGAUGUUGGGUUAAGUCCCGCAACGAGCGCAACCCUUAAGCUUAGUUGCCAUCAUUAAGUUGGGCACUCUAAGUUGACUGCCGGUGACAAACCGGAGGAAGGUGGGGAUGACGUCAAAUCAUCAUGCCCCUUAUGAUUUGGGCUACACACGUGCUACAAUGGACAAUACAAAGGGCAGCGAAACCGCGAGGUCAAGCAAAUCCCAUAAAGUUGUUCUCAGUUCGGAUUGUAGUCUGCAACUCGACUACAUGAAGCUGGAAUCGCUAGUAAUCGUAGAUCAGCAUGCUACGGUGAAUACGUUCCCGGGUCUUGUACACACCGCCCGUCACACCACGAGAGUUUGUAACACCCGAAGCCGGUGGAGUAACCUUUUAGGAGCUAGCCGUCGAAGGUGGGACAAAUGAUUGGGGUGAAGUCGUAACAAGGUAGCCGUAUCGGAAGGUGCGGCUGGAUCACCUCCUUU
rnacentral:rRNA from 1 species